UACAGAGGGGGCAAGCGUUGUUCGGAAUUACUGGGCGUAAAGGGCGCGUAGGCGGCCUGUUAAGUCGAACGUGAAAUCCCCGGGCUCAACCCGGGAACUGCAUCCGAUACUGGCAGGCUUGAAUCCGGGAGAGGGAUGCGGAAUUCCAGGUGUAGCGGUGAAAUGCGUAGAUAUCUGGAGGAACACCAAUGGCGAAGGCAGCUCGCUGGGACGUGACUGACGCUGAGACGCGAAAGCGUGGGGAGCAAACAGG
rnacentral:rRNA from 1 species